rnacentral:tRNA from 1 species
CAGAAAGUAGUUUAGAAAAAUAAUAAUUUUGGAGAUUAUAGAUGAUUAUAUCCCUUCUGA